GAAUAAAAUGGGUAAAUAAACCCUAAAACCCAAUUUGCAAAAAAAUGAGAGAAUAGUACGCGAAUUCUAAGGCUUCACCCAAUUGCAAUGGCUACCUAGCACCUCUUCCUCCUGCCAGCACCACCUAAGCUCCGGCCAAUACCACCCGGGCUCCGUCCAACAGCAGCCAAGCUCCGGCAAAAACCUCCCAAGCUCUGUCAACUUCUCCGGUAGAGAUAUCGAUGGAAUUCUGAAACACGACUAGUGAAAUGCGAUUCUGAUGAAAAUGAGAUAGUUGUUGACCUUCAACCUUAUCUCGAGAAACUUAAAGGAUAGAAUUGGCAAACUACAAGGAGGCAUCGAGUUUCUUGAGCACUGUUGAUUCGAGAAAAUUAAAGGGGGUGAAUUCUUGUACUUGCCAAGAGAAAAAGUGGUCAUGGCAGUACUUAAUAUUGCUGGAACUGACUUGAACAAUGCCAUUAAAAAUCCUUUCCUUGGAGUCCUCUAAAUCUUAUACAUUACUUCAGAUAAAUUGUGAAGGAUACUUGAGUUUAUAACUGAAACUGUAAAAGCUAUAUUAACCUUCAGAUAAAUUGUGAAGGAUACUUGAGUUUAUAACUGAAACUGUAAAAGCUAUAUUAAGGUUUGAUGGACUCAUGUUCCUUUUGAACCAUUUUUUAUUACAAGUUGAAGGGAUUAAGUUGAUGUUGAAA